rnacentral:rRNA from 1 species
CAAUAGCGUAUAUUUAAGUUGCUGCAGUUAAAAAGCUCGUAGUUGGAUUUCUGGGGGCAGGACGCUUGCGCCUCACGGCAACAGCGACCGCCGCCCAUCCUUCUGUUAACGACGCUUGGCAUUCACUUGCUGGUUUCGGGCUCAGAUAUUUUACUUUGAGAAAAUUAGAGUGUUUCAGGCAGGCUUGGCCGGAAUACAUUAGCAUGGAAUAAUGGAAUAGGACUUUGGCUCUAUUUGGUGGUUUAGGGCACAAAGUAAUGAUUAAUAGGGACAGUUGGGGGCAUUAGUAUUUAAUUGUCAGAGGUGAAAUUCUUGGAUUUGUUAAAGACUAACCUAUGCGAAAGCAUUUGCCAAGGAUGUUUUCAUUAA